rnacentral:tRNA from 1 species
GGCAAGAUGGCCGAGCGGUUAAGGCGCUAGCUUCAGGUGCUAGUGUGGAAACACGCGUGGGUUCGAGUCCCACUCUUGUCA